GAGAGGUGUCCAGGCAACCCUGAAGUGGUGCUGCCCUCACCUUCCACAGGAACUUGGGCUUUCCUCCCCUUUUCCAGUUCAUUCGCAGGAAACCAGGACACCUCUGAAGAUUUCUCCACGGAAAGGGCACUCAGGCCUUGGAAGUGCCCAGGGAGGUUUGGAUUUGCCAUCCCUGGAGGUGUCCAAGGAAUUCCUGGACUCAGUGCCAAGGAGAACAUUGAACUUGGCGGCACCGAGCGCCGCGGCCGUGGCCGCGAGUCAAGAAAAAUCCUCUUUGGAAGAGUCAGAAACGUCUCCCAGGAGUGAAAUGAAGGAGUUCCAGCAAGGUGGGGACAACCCCUGCACAAACCCAAAGGUGAACGUUCUGUGGCCUGAAGUUCUGCAGGUGGAGCCAAACCAACACCUGCCACGAGGACGUUCCAGAGGGAUCGCUCAGCACCUGGCUUCCCUUGGAAUCUUUUGCCUGAACUGUUCCAUUCCACAUCCUGAAAGGUGCAGCAGCUCAGGAGGAAAGGGCAAAAGACUUAAGUAAAAAUUUUAUUUUUAAAUAAAAUUCACUCCCGACAAAGGUGA